AACGAACGCUGGCGGCAGACCUAACACAUGCAAGUCGAACGGGAUCUUCGGAUCUAGUGGCGGACGGGUGAGUAACGCGUGGGAACGUGCCCUUUGGUUCGGAAUAGCCCCGGGAAACUGGGAGUAAUACCGGAUAAGCCCUACGGGGGAAAGAUUUAUCGCCAAAGGAUCGGCCCGCGUUGGAUUAGGUAGUUGGUGAGGUAAUGGCUCACCAAGCCGACGAUCCAUAGCUGGUUUGAGAGGAUGAUCAGCCACACUGGGACUGAGGCACGGCCCAGACUCCUACGGGAGGCAGCAGUGGGGAAUCUUAGACAAUGGGGGAAACCCUGAUCUAGCCAUGCCGCGUGAUCGAUGAAGGCCUUAGGGUUGUAAAGAUCUUUCAGUGGGGAAGAUAAUGACGGUACCCACAGAAGAAGCCCCGGCUAACUCCGUGCCAGCCGCCGCAGUAA
rnacentral:rRNA from 1 species